rnacentral:rRNA from 1 species
AUGUUUAGGGGAUCCAUCCGAGGCCAUGCUUCGGGCUUGAAUCGUGAUAGAGAAAGCAACCAUUGCCUACUCUACGACGAUUAUUUCGAGCUCACAAGCCCACUUUUCAAUGCCAAGCUUUUCCCGGGACGCUUCCGAAUGGUGAGACAUGUGUUCAACCGUCUUUGGGGGGGGGGGGAGCGAGGGAGUAUGAUGAUUACUUGCAAUGCAAGCCCGAUGCCCUUGGGAAGGUUGGCUUCUCUUAUAAAAAAUGUACUGCAGCUGUUCGGAUGCUUGCAUACGACAUUCGCGGUGAUGGCAUUGUACAGGUUCUGCAAAGUUGUGGUUGCAAUGUUUGGCAAGGAGUAUUUAGAGAACCAAAUGCUACGGAUACAACUCGGUUAUUAG